GGGUCAGUAGCUCCAAUUGGCUAGAGCGCCGGACUCCAAAUCCGGUUGUUGCAGGUUCGAGUCCUGCCUGACCCGCCA
rnacentral:tRNA from 1 species